rnacentral:rRNA from 1 species
AUGGUAUGGAAUGUAAGGGGGCUCAAUAACCCUGCUCGGAGGAACACAGUUAGGCUUUUCGUGGAAUCUCUCAAUGUAUCCCUAGUUUGCUUUCAAGAGUCCAAGUUGGCACUGGUGAAUGACAUUGUGGUUCGGGAAACUCUGGGGCCUGCCUUCGAUGGUUUUGAUUUCCUGCCGGCUGAAGGAACAUGUGGUGGCAUAUUGUUGGCUUGGAAGUCU